CAGGGUCAUGGAGCUGGACACCCAGGGAGGCGCUGGUUUUCCUCUAGUUUGAGGGUCUUACAGCUGGAGACCCGAGGAGGAGCUGACGUUGUUCUAGUUUGAGGCUCCACAAACCUCAAACUAGAGCAACAUCAGCUUCUCCCCUGGCCUCCAGCUCCGUGACCCUCAAACUAGAACAGCGUCAGCUCCUCCUCAGGUUUCCAGCUCCAUGACCCUCAAACUAAAACAACAUCAGCUCCUCCUUGGAACUCCAGCUCCACGACCCUCAGACUUAAACAAGAGCAACAUCAGCUCCUCCUUGGAUCUCCAGCUCCACGACCCUCAGACUUAAACAAGAGCAGCACCAGCUCCUCCACGGGUCUGCAGCUCCAUGACCCUCUAACAAGGAAAACAUCAACUACUCCCUGUGUCUCCAGCUCCAUGACCCUCUGAUCAGUAAAACAUCAACUCCCACCUGAGUCUCCAGACGCAGAAGCCUCAAACUAGAACAACAUCAGCUCCUCCCCAGGUCUCCAGCUGCACGACCCUCAAACUAGAACAUCAGCUCCUCCCUGCAUCUUCAGCAGCACAACCCUCAAUCUAGAACAUCAGCUCCUCCCUGCAUCUUCAGCAGCACGACCCUCAAACUAGAACAUCAGCUCCUCCCUGCGCCUUCAGCAGCACGACCCUCAAACUAGAACAUCAGCUCCUCUCCAGGUCUCCAGCUGCACGACACUCAUACUAGAAAAAUGCCAGCUCCUCCCGGGUUCUAGAGCUACAGGACUGUAGAACUAAAAAACACCUGCUCCUCCCCAGGUCUCCAGCUGCAUGAACCACAAACUAGAACAACACCAGCUCCUCUUUGGGUCUCCAGCUGCAGGGCCCUCAAACAAAAACAUCAGCUUCUCCCCGAGUCUUCAGAUGCACGACCCUCAAACUAGAACAUCAGCUCCUCUCCGAGUCUCCAGUUGCAGGAAACUCAUACUAGAAAAAUGCCAGCCCUUUCCGAAUUCUACAGCUGGACGACCCUCAUAUUAAAAAACACUCUCUCUUCCCCAGGUCUCCAGCUGCAUGAACCUCAAAUUAGAGCAACAUCAGCUCCUCCUCGAGUCUUCAGCUGUGCGAUCUUCAAACUAAAACAUCAGCUCCUCUCUGGCUCGCCAGAUGCAGGACACUCAUACUAGAAAAAU
rnacentral:lncRNA from 10 species